CCUACGGGAGGCAGCAGUGGGGAAUAUUGGACAAUGGGCGAAAGCCUGAUCCAGCAAUGCCGCGUGAGUGAUGAAGGCCUUAGGGUUGUAAAGCUCUUUUACCCGGGAUGAUAAUGACAGUACCGGGAGAAUAAGCUCCGGCUAACUCCGUGCCAGCAGCCGCGGU
rnacentral:rRNA from 1 species